rnacentral:rRNA from 1 species
CCUACGGGAUGCAGCAGUGAGGAAUAUUGGUCAAUGGGCGCGAGCCUGAACCAGCCAAGUCGUGUGAAGGAUGACUGCCCUACGGAUUGUAAACUUCUUUUAUCAAGGAAUAAAGUGAGGCACGUGUUCCUUUUUGUGUGUACUUUAUGAAUAAGUCUCGGCUAACUCCGUGCCAGCAGCCGCGGUAAUACGGAGGAUGCGAGCGUUCUCCGGAGUUAUUGGGUUUAAAGGGUGCGGAGGCGGGCUGUUAAGUCAGCGGUAAAAGCCCGGGGCUAAACCCCGGCGAGCCGUUGAAACUGGCUGUCUUGAGAUGUCGAGAGGUAUGCGGAAUGCGCGGUGUAGCGGUGAAAUGCUUAGAUAUGGCGCAGAACUCCGAUUGCGAAGGCAGCAUACCGGCGGCGCACUGACGCUGAGGCACGAAAGCGUGGGUAUCGAACAGGAUUAGAUACCCGUGUAGUC